rnacentral:rRNA from 1 species
UGGGGAAUAUUGCACAAUGGGCGCAAGCCUGAUGCAGCCAUGCCGCGUGUGUGAAGAAGGCCUUCGGGUUGUAAAGCACUUUCAGCGAGGAGGAAGGGUGGUGUGUUAAUAGCGCAUCACAUUGACGUUACUCGCAGAAGAAGCACCGGCUAACUCCGUGCCAGCAGCCGCGGUAAUACGGAGGGUGCAAGCGUUAAUCGGAAUUACUGGGCGUAAAGCGCACGCAGGCGGUUUGUUAAGUCAGAUGUGAAAUCCCCGCGCUUAACGUGGGAACUGCAUUCGAAACUGGCAAGCUAGAGUCUUGUAGAGGGGGUAGAAUUCCAGGUGUAGCGGUGAAAUGCGUAGAGAUCUGGAGGAAUACCGGUGGCGAAGGCGGCCCCCUGGAGCAAAAGACUGACGCUCAGGUGCGAAAAGCGUGGGGAGCAAACA